AAUAUUUAAAUAAAGCAAAACUUUCAACAACGGAUCUCUUGGUUCCGGCAUCGAUGAAGAACGCAGCGAAAUGCGAUAAGUAAUGUGGACCGCAGUACUCAGCGACUCAUCGAAUCUUUGAACGCACAUUGCGCCACUUGGUAUCACCAAAGGGCACACCUGUUCGAGCGUCACAU
rnacentral:rRNA from 1 species